rnacentral:rRNA from 1 species
AGCAGCCGCGGUAAUUCCAGCUCCAAUAGCGUAUAUUAAAGUUGUUGCAGUUAAAAAGCUCGUAGUUGAAUUUCGGGAUCAAUACGUCGGUCGUGCUUUCGGGUACGUACUGGCGUCAUUGGUUUCUCCUUUCUGGCGAACCAUGAUGUCAUUAAUUUGGUGUUAUGGGGAGUUAGGACUGUUACUUUGAAAAAAUUAGAGUGUUUAAAGCAGGCUAACGCUUGAAUACAUUAGCAUAGAAUAAUGAAGUAGGACGUUAAUCCUAUUUUGUUGGUUUCUAGGAUUGACAUAAUGAUUAAUAGGGAUAGUUGGGCAUUAGUAUUCAAUUGUCAGAUGUGAAAUUCUUGGAUUUAUUGAAGACUAACUACUGCGAAAGCAUUUACCAAGGAUGUUUCAUUAAUCAAGAACG